UCUGGUCCUUGUGUGCCCGCCGCCGCGGUAAUACGUCGGGGGCCCGCGUUAUCCGGAUUUACUGGGUGUAAAGGGAGCGUAGACGGCAAGGCAAGUCUGAUGUGAAAACCCAGGGCUUAACCCUGGGACUGCAUUGGAAACUGUCUGGCUCGAGUGCCGGAGAGGUAAGCGGAAUUCCUAGUGUAGCGGUGAAAUGCGUAGAUAUUAGGAAGAACACCAGUGGCGAAGGCGGCUUACUGGACGGUAACUGACGUUGAGGCUCGAAAGCGUGGGGAGCAAACAGG
rnacentral:rRNA from 1 species